GUAGCACAGAGGAACUUGUUCCUUGGGUGACGAGCGGCGGACGGGUGAGUAACGCGUAGGAAUCUGCCUGGUAGUGGGGGACAACAUGUGGAAACGCAUGCUAAUACCGCAUACGCCCUUAGGGGGAAAGGAGGGGAUCUUAGGACCUUUCGCUAUCAGAUGAGCCUGCGUGAGAUUAGCUAGUUGGUGGGGUAAAGGCUCACCAAGGCGACGAUCUCUAGCUGGUCUGAGAGGAUGACCAGUCACACUGGGACUGAGACACGGCCCAGACUCCUACGGGAGGCAGCAGUGGGGAAUAUUGGACAAUGGGGGCAACCCUGAUCCAGCCAUGCCGCGUGUGUGAAGAAGGCCUUAGGGUUGUAAAGCACUUUCAGUGGUGAGGAAGGGUGCGUAGUUAAUACCUACGUAUCUUGACGUUAGCCACAGAAGAAGCACCGGCUAACUCUGUGCCAGCAGCCGCGGUAAUACAGAGGGUGCAAGCGUUAAUCGGAAUUACUGGGCGUAAAGCGCGCGUAGGUGGUUUGUUAAGUCGGAUGUGAAAUCCCCGGGCUCAACCUGGGAACUGCACCCGAUACUGGCAAGCUAGAGUACAAUAGAGGGGUGUGGAAUUUCCUGUGUAGCGGUGAAAUGCGUAGAUAUAGGAAGG
rnacentral:rRNA from 1 species